rnacentral:rRNA from 1 species
CCUACGGGAGGCAGCAGUGAGGAAUAUUGGUCAAUGGGCGUAAGCCUGAACCAGCCAAGUCGCGUGAGGGAUGAAGGUUCUAUGGAUCGUAAACCUCUUUUAUAAGGGAAUAAAGUGCGGGACGUGUCCCGUUUUGUAUGUACCUUAUGAAUAAGGAUAGGAUAACUCAGUGCCAGCAGCCGCGGUAAUACGGAGGAUCCGAGCGUUAUCCGGAUUUAUUGGGUUUAACGGGUGCGUAGGCGGCAUUUUAAGUCAGCGGUGAAAGUCAGUGGCUCAACCAUAGAAUUGCCGUUGAAACUGGGAGGCUUGAGUGUGUUAGAGGCAGGUGGAAUGCGAGGUGUAGCGGUGAAAUGCUUAGAUAUCACGCAGAACCCCGAUUGCGAAGGCGGCCUGCCAGGCCAUGACUGACGCUGAUGCGCGAAAGCGUGGGGAUCAAACAGGAUUAGAUACCCGUGUAGUC